rnacentral:lncRNA from 1 species
CUAUGUUAUAAAAUACAUAUUCUAAAUAUUUAGUUGUAUGUACUAUUAACCCACGCAAGGCCUACUUUGUGUUUCGAUUGUAAACCCUGAUUUUUAUCAAUGGGAGCCUGAAAAAAUAGAAAAAAAGAAAAAAAUACUCCGAAAAUACUUGGUUUGUUAAAUUGUUGUAUACACUGAAAACACACCGGGUUCAACUCAAUUUAU